rnacentral:rRNA from 1 species
GGGCCCGCACAAGCGGUGGAGUAUGUGGUUUAAUUCGAUGCAACGCGAAGAACCUUACCAGGGCUUGACAUCCUGCGAACCUCUGGGAAACCGGAGGGUGCCUUCGGGAACGCAGUGACAGGUGGUGCAUGGCUGUCGUCAGCUCGUGUCGUGAGAUGUUGGGUUAAGUCCCGCAACGAGCGCAACCCACGUCUUUAGUUGCCAGCAUUUAGUUGGGCACUCUAGAGAGACUGCCGGUGAUAAACCGGAGAAGGUGUGGAUGACGUCAAGUCAUCAUGCCCCUUACAUCUGGGCUACACACGUACUACAAUGCUACGGACAAAGGGCAGCAAACUCGCGAGAGCUAGCAAAUCCCAUAAACGUGGCUC